CUUGGAAAUCAUUUGUCAGGGAAGGAUGCAUUGAAGGUAGAUGGGACUUGAGCUAGUAGGUGACGACAGAAAAUUUGCACUGGAGGACCAAGAUACCAUACUUUUCCAGCCUAGAAAUGGACCAUUACAGAAGGGAAUGCAGAUGAACAUGGCUGAACUCAGUGCUGCAGUUUACAGAAGUAUCUGCUCACAGCACAGAAUGACACAUGGCUUGUCCUACAUCACAGACAACACUAAGCAGUGUAUGGGAACAGUAGACAAGGAAAAGAAUUGUAGAAUCAUUGAAUCGCCAAAGCUGAAAAAGAUCUCCAAGACCAUCCAGUCCAACUUUCCACCUACCACCAGUAUUUCCCACUAAACCAUGUCCAUCAAUACAACAUCCAAAUGUUUCUUGAACACUUCCAGGGACAGUGACCUAACCACCUCCUUGGGCAGCCCAUUUCAGUG
ensembl:lncRNA